rnacentral:rRNA from 1 species
GGCCGCGAAUUCGCCCUUCCGACUCCUACGGGAGGCAGCAGUGAGGAAUAUUGGUCAAUGGUCGAGAGACUGAACCAGCCAAGUCGCGUGAAGGAAGACGGCUCUAUGAGUUGUAAACUUCUUUUGUACAGGAGUAAAGUGAGACACGAGUGUUUUAUUGCAAGUACUGUACGAAUAAGCAUCGGCUAACUCCGUGCCAGCAGCCGCGGUAAUACGGAGGAUGCAAGCGUUAUCCGGAUUUAUUGGGUUUAAAGGGUGCGUAGGCGGUAUUACAAGUCAGGGGUGAAAUCUUGGUGCUUAACAUUAAAAUUGCCUUUGAAACUGUGGUACUUGAGUGUAAAAGAGGUAGGCGGAAUGUGUUGUGUAGCGGUGAAAUGCAUAGAUAUAACACAGAACCCCGAUUGCGAAGGCAGCUUACUAUCAUACAACUGACGCUGAUGCACGAAAGCGUGGGGAUCAAACAGGAUUAGAUACCCUGGUAGUCCACGCAGUAAACGAUGAUUACUAGCUGUUAGCGAUAUAUUGUUAGUGGCUAAGCGAAAGCGAUAAGUAAUCCACCUGGGGAGUACGUUCGCAAGAAUGAAACUCAAAGGAAUUGACGGGGGCCCGCACAAG